rnacentral:misc_RNA from 1 species
UGGCGCCGGUCUUGAUCUUCGCGCUGGUUCUCGCCGCCGUAUUCGGGGCGGCGCUGAUCACCACAUUCGACCGCAGCCCGAUGGUCGUGACCGCCAUAGAUACCGCACCGCCAGGCACAAGCGGCCUGGCAAAAUCCCGUCCCACCACGGAGCGCCGAUGAUCGCGAAUAACAAUUUGGACGACACGGUUGGCGGCAAACGCGCCUACCACAAGUUCCUCUGGGGCGCC